GCCGUGGCAUUCCCUCACAUCGCAUCGCCGAUGCGAUGUUGCUGCUGCUUCCCUUCGACGCUGCCGCUGCUUCCCAGCUUCACAGCAGAUACUUCAAGUGUGUUUAAAGGCAGCAAAUAGGAUGCCUGGAUCCAAGCAGCACUCGUCAACAAAAGCAGCAGUACAGGGCAGCAAGGCUGCGAAACAAAACAUUCUAGUCAGUGGCGAAGUCAUCAAAAAACCGUAAGAAGACAUACAUAGGGAGGCUACUGCCACCACAAGCACCACAUUCACGACCAACUGUUGCUGUGGGAUUAGACGCAGGAAACCUAAUUGCUGGAGGUACCCAUGGGGAAGAUGUCUAAUGGUGCAGUGCUCCAAGGGAUGUGCAUACCUGUGCAACUGAUGUUGUAGAGAUUGGCAUUGAUGGUGGCCUCCUCUGUACAGACUUGCUCUAACUUCCAAACCUAUCUAUUGUAUCGAAAUGUCAACAGGGACAAUCGAGCUAUCGUUUGCUUGAGCAUCGAGAGAAUAGAUUCUAGUUUUUUUAACUGAAACUACACUGAUGGUCUCCAUGCUGUAGAAAUCUCAAUUUGGUGGUGUUGUAUAGUUAUUGCCCA